rnacentral:rRNA from 1 species
UGGGGAAUUUUGGACAAUGGGGGCAACCCUGAUCCAGCAAUGCCGCGUGUGUGAAGAAGGCCUUCGGGUUGUAAAGCACUUUUGUCCGGAAAGAAAACGCCGUGGUUAAUACCCGUGGCGGAUGACGGUACCGGAAGAAUAAGCACCGGCUAACUACGUGCCAGCAGCCGCGGUAAUACGUAGGGUGCAAGCGUUAAUCGGAAUUACUGGGCGUAAAGCGUGCGCAGGCGGUCCGCUAAGACAGAUGUGAAAUCCCCGGGCUUAACCUGGGAACUGCAUUUGUGACUGGCGGGCUAGAGUAUGGCAGAGGGGGGUAGAAUUCCACGUGUAGCAGUGAAAAUGCGUAGAGAUGUGGAGGAAUACCGAUGGCGAAGGCAGCCCCCUGGGCCAAUACUGACGCUCAUGCACGAAAAGCGUGGGGAGCAAAACAGGAUUAGAUACCCUGGUAGUCCACGCCCUAAACGAUGUCAAACUAGUUGUUGGGGAUUCAUUUUCCUUAGUAAACGUAGCUAACGCGUGAAGUUGACCGCCUGGGGAGUAACGGUCGCAAAGAUUAAAAACUUAAAAUGAAAUUGACGGGGUCAUAGCUGUUUCCUG